rnacentral:rRNA from 1 species
CCCUUAGAUGUCCUGGGCUGCACGCGCGCUACACUGAUGUGUCCAGUAAGCACCUAACCUCUUCCGAAAGGAACGGGUAACCUUUGCAAAGCACAUCGUGAUGGGGAUAGAUUAUUCAAUUAUUAGUCUUGAACGAGGAAUUCCUAGUAAGCACAAGUCAUCAGCUUGUGUUGAUUACGUCCCUGCCCUUUGUACACACCGCCCGUCGCUCCUACCGAUUGAAUGUUCCGGUGAGCUCUUCGGACUGCGCGGUCUGCAGUUUCUGCGUUCCGUGCGGAAAGUUGCGCAAACCUUAACAUUUAGAGGAAGGAGAAGUCGUAACA